rnacentral:rRNA from 1 species
CCUACGGGAGGCAGCAGUGAGGAAUAUUGGUCAAUGGACGAGAGUCUGAACCAGCCAAGUAGCGUGAAGGAUGACUGCCCUAUGGGUUGUAAACUUCUUUUAUAUGGGAAUAAAAUGUUCCACGUGUGGGAUUUUGUAUGUACCAUAUGAAUAAGGAUCGGCUAACCUCGUGCCCGCAGCCGGGGUAAUACGGAGGAUACGAGCGUUAUGCGGAUUUAUUGGGGUUAAAGGGAGCGUAGGUGGAUUGUUAAGGCAGUUGUGAAAGUUUGCGGCUCAACCGUAAAAUUGCAGUUGAAACUGGCAGUCUUGAGUACAGUAGAGGUGGGCGGAAUUCGUGGUGUAGCGGUGAAAUGCUUAGAUAUCACGAAGAACUCCGAUUGCGAAGGCAGUUCACUGGACUGCAACUGACACUGAGGCUCGAAAGUGUGGGUAUCAAACAGGAUUAGAUACCCCGGUAGUC